rnacentral:rRNA from 1 species
UUCGCUGACGAGUGGCGGACGGGUGAGUAAUGUCUGGGAAACUGCCUGAUGGAGGGGGAUAACUACUGGAAACGGUAGCUAAUACCGCAUAACGUCGCAAGACCAAAGAGGGGGACCUUCGGGCCUCUUGCCAUCGGAUGUGCCCAGAUGGGAUUAGCUAGUAGGUGGGGUAACGGCUCACCUAGGCGACGAUCCCUAGCUGGUCUGAGAGGAUGACCAGCCACACUGGAACUGAGACACGGUCCAGACUCCUACGGGAGGCAGCAGUGGGGAAUAUUGCACAAUGGGCGCAAGCCUGAUGCAGCCAUGCCGCGUGUAUGAAGAAGGCCUUCGGGUUGUAAAGUACUUUCAGCGGGG